AACGAACGCUGGCGGCAGGCCUAACACAUGCAAGUCGAGCGCGCCCUUCGGGGGUGAGCGGCGGACGGGUUAGUAACGCGUGGGAAUAUGCCCAGAUCUGCGGAAUAGCCUCUGGAAACGGAGAGUAAUACCGCAUACGCCCUUCGGGGGAAAGAUUUAUCGGAUUUGGAUUAGCCCGCGUUGGAUUAGGUAGUUGGUGGGUAAUGGCCUACCAAGCCGACAAUCCAUAGCUGGUUUGAGAGGAUGAUCAGCAACACUGGGACUGAGACACGGCCCAGACUCCUACGGGAGGCAGCAGUGGGGAAUCUUAGACAAUGGGGGAAACCCUGAUCUAGCCAUGCCGCGUGAGUGACGAAGGCCCUAGGGUCGUAAAGCUCUUUCAGCUGUGAAGAUAAUGACGGUAGCAGCAGAAGAAACCCCGGCUAACUCCGUG
rnacentral:rRNA from 1 species